rnacentral:rRNA from 1 species
AGAGUACGACCGCAAGGUUAAAACUCAAAUGAAUUGACGGGGACCCGCACAAGUAGUGGAGCAUGUGGUUUAAUUCGAAGAUACGCGCAGAACCUUACCAACACUUGACAUGUUCGUCGCGACUUUAAGAGAUUAAAGUUUUCGGUUCGGCCGGACGAAACACAGGUGCUGCAUGGCUGUCGUCAGCUCGUGUCGUGAGAUGUUGGGUUAAGUCCCGCAACGAGCGCAACCCUCACUUUUAGUUGCCAUCAUUUAGUUGGGCACUCUGAAAGAACUGCCAGUGAUAAGCUGGAGGAAGGUGGGGAUGACGUCAAGUCCUCAUGGCCCUUACGUGUUGGGCUACACACGUGCUACAAUGGUAUCUACAACAGGAAGCAAAACGGCGACGUUAAGCAAAUCCUUAAAAGAUACCUCAGUUCGGAUUGCACUCUGCAACUCGAGUGCAUGAAGCUGGAAUUACUAGUAAUCGUGGAUCAGCGUGCCACGGUGAAUGCGUUCCCGGGUCUUGUACACACCGCCCGUCACACCAUGGGAGUUGGUUCUACCUUAAGGCAAGGUUUCAAACCCUUGACCACGGUAUAGUCAGCGACUGGGGUGAAGUCGUAACAAGGUAGCCGUA